AGUGCGCCAGCAACCCGCGCGGCUCUCUUUCUAUUAUACAGCAUUUACAAUCCUCGCUUUGCUUGUUUUUCUCCCCUCUCCCCACGUUAUUGUUUAUUCUUUUUAAGCCCGGGAAGUAUAUAUUUCUUUCUAACACAAAGACGCGGUGUGCGGCUGCACACGCGAAGACCGACCUCGACUUUCGGAGUCAUGUGUGGGAGACAAGACUGUCAAUUCAAGACCCUACUCGCGGUUUUGGUUCUCGCUGCUGCCGUGGGCAAAACGCAUGGGCAAGGGCCAAAUGAAAGCAGAGAUGUCAGUACGAGAACACCAGGCAGUGACUACUUCAGACACUCGCCAACACAGGACACAGAGAGCGAAGUCCACUUGGUUACCACCGUCUCACCGAUGAACAUCCCCAACCACCGGCCCGUCCUCAAGGGAAUGCUGCUUCACGAGCAUCUGCUUACAAGGGACUUCCAGGGGGACCAGCAUUUCUUCAGGAGGGACGGUUCUGUGGCUGGGUAUCCCACCAUGCCAGGCUCCGUGUCUGCCUUGGACCUUGGAGAUGCUGCCACUCAAGUGGUGCCCCACGAGGAUGCCCCUGCCUUCUCAGACAUCGCCACCACUGCCACUCCGGCUGCCACAACCUCACUGACCACAUUUUCUCCCGCGCCGCCAAGGCCGCCAAUGUCUCUCCCUAAGGAGAAGCCCAGCGGGGUAGAAAUGGCAGAGCCGACAACAGACUCCCUCACCACUCAAGUGACACAGAAUAAUAGAGGUUCAGGUGGCAAAAACGACCCAGUUGCCACCUCAACCUUGCAGAGAAACCCGCCCCAAAGUCGUAGCGCUUUCCCUGAAGGCGCCACCCUUGCAUCCUUGUCAACUGGGAUGGAGAAAGGUGAAACGAGGGAGACGCCACUAAAACACAAAAGCAGCUCUGAUCAUCCUCUAACCAAGCUAACUGAGGUUUCCCAAGUAGAGGGUACCACCACCAUGUCUACAACCAUCAUCACAACCACCACCAUCACACAAACAUCAGAGCCGUGCAGUCUGAAUUUCACUGAACCUGAGGGGAACAUCGAAAUCCUGCAGCAAAUUGAUUCUGGAGUAGAGUGCAACUACUUGAUUACUGUUUACCUGGGAUACGGCAUCGAGGUUCAGGUGCUAAAUGUGAGUGUGCUGGAGGGUGAGCAGGUGACAGUGGAAGACACAGGUGGCCGAGAACCCUUCAUCCUUGCCAACGAGACGGUCUUGAUGAGGGGCCUCGUACUGCGCAGCUGGAGCAACCAGAUCUCCAUCCGAUUCCGUAGCGACCAACGACACAACUCCGGAUUUCUGCUGCUGCAUUACCAAGCUUUUGUGCUGAGCUGUGCAUUCCCCAAAGAGCCAGCUGGUGGGGAAGUUACAGUGACACACCUCCACGCUGGAGGUGAGGCCUACUUCCGCUGUUUCACCGGCUACAAGUUGCAAGGCCCCAAAAUGCUCACCUGUCGCAAUGCAACUACACCUUACUGGAGUGGGAAGGAGCCCCAGUGUGUAGCAUCCUGUGGGGGGAUGAUAAAAAAUGCUACCUACGGUCGUAUCGUCUCACCUGGUUUCCCUGGCAACUACAGCAACAACCUGACAUGCCACUGGGUCCUGGAGGUCCCUGAAGGCCACCGGCUUCACAUUCACUUUGAGAAGGUGGCUCUGGCAGAGGAUGAUGACAGGCUGCUGAUCAAGAAUGGCAACAACAUCGACUCCCCCCCUGUGUACGACUCCUACGAGGUGGAGUACUUGCCCAACGAGGGUGUGCUCAGUACUGGACGUUACCUGUUCAUAGAGUUCACCACAGACGGGACAGUAACCUCCACUGGUGCAGCCAUCAGAUAUGAAGCUUUUGCCACAGGCAUGUGUUACGAGCCCUUUGUGAAAUAUGGCAACUUCAGCAGCAGCGACUCCACUUACGGCUUGGGUGCAGUGGUUGAAUUCUCAUGUGACCCUGGCUACACGCUAGAGCAAGGCUCCGUCGUGAUCGAGUGUGUGGACGCACAAAACCCUCAGUGGAAUGAAACAGAGCCAGCCUGCAGGGCUGUGUGCAGCGGCGAGAUCACAGACUCUGCCGGCGUGGUUUUGUCUCCCAAUUGGCCUGAGGCCUACGACAAGGGGCAGGACUGCAUCUGGGGCAUCCAUGUGGAAGAGGACAAGAGGAUCAUGCUUGACAUCCAAGUUCUCCACGUGGGUAAGAACGACCUGCUGACCUUCUACGAUGGCGAUGACCUCACAGCCAACAUCCUUGGUCAAUACAGCGGCACAAAGCCACACUUCAAGCUCUACACAUCUAUGGCCGACGUCACCAUUCAGUUUCAGUCAGAUCCCGCCACCAACAUAUACGGCUACAACAAUGGCUUUGUGGUCCACUUCUUUGAGGUGCCCAGGAACGACACGUGUUCAGAGCUGCCGGAGGUCACCAACGGCUGGAAGAGCACGUCCCACCCCGAUCUGAUCCACGGCACUGUCAUCACCUAUCAGUGCUAUCCUGGAUUUGAGCUGGUCGGCUCGGAGAUCCUCAUGUGCCAGUGGGAUCUCACCUGGAGCGGCGAUGUGCCGAGGUGUGAGGAAGUUAUGACAUGUCGGGACCCUGGAAAUGUGGAGCACAGUCGUAAAGUGGUCUCAGGCAGUCGCUUCAUCGUUGGGUCCACGGUGCAGUUUAUCUGUAACAAAGGCUACGUCCUGUCCGGCAACAGCCUCCUCACCUGCUACAACCGAGACUCAGCCGUGCCCAAGUGGAGCGAGAGGCUGCCCAAGUGUGUCCCUGAAAAGUACGAGCCGUGCAGGAACCCCGGCGCUGCCUCCACCAGCGUGCAGAGCUCUGAAAAGGCCUUUUACCAGGCAGGAGAGACGCUGACCUUCUCCUGCCACUCGGGCUACGAGCUGCAGGGCGAGGCCUCCAUCUACUGCAUCCCCGGACACCCGUCACAGUGGAACAGCACUCCCCCUGCCUGCAGAGCAUCUUCAACCCAGUAUGAGAAUGAACGCAGGCUGGACGUUGUUGAUAGGGAUUAUGCGAUGGAGGGAACCAACGUUGCCCUUGCAGUUUUUAUUCCAACAGCAAUCAUCUUGGUGGUUGUCCUUGGGAUUUAUGUCUACUUUGCAAAACUGCAGGGGAAGUCGAUCAGGAUGCCGACGUCCUCGCCGCCGUACGACAACAUGACGGAAGAGUCGGCUUUCGACAACCCAAUAUACGAGAGUGGACACCAGCAGACUCAUAGAUACUAAUCCCAGUCAGUGUGCCCACAUUUGACUGUGAACUGCAGAACAGCUAUGAGGACAAAUGAAAAAAAAAAGAUUUAAGAGGUGUCCAUUUAGAGACCUUAAAGCAAGAGUUGCUCAAGCUUUGCCUUUUGGGACCCUCUCUGCACUGCUCAUCUUUCCCUCCAACGUUUUUCUUUUUGUCUGCAAACGAUGAUAUUCUUUCCAUAUUUCCCUUUGUGUGGAUUCCUGUAAAUAUGUCUUUGUCUCCACGGUCAACUGUGAAUCUGUGGGUCACCAUGGUGAUAUUUUUAUAAAGUAAAUUGCUGAUGACCGUUGGUGAUUAUAUGUUUUUGACAACUUUUUGACGACUUGAGCCAGUAGCAGUCAGCGAUCGAGAUGUGUUGGCUUCAAAUUCCCCAUUAUACCCAACAUUCUUUGGGAUAAUCGCCAUGAUCACUUUGUUUUUGUAUGUAUGGGUCUGCUAUUUGUAAAUAAACUGCCUGUCCAAUAUGAGUGCCUCACGACUGACUAAAACCUGACAAAUCACAUGUGAAAAUGUUUGUUAAUCUUUCAUUCGACUUUUAUUUUGUGCCUGACAUUCUCAGCACUGCGAGUGUGCUCCGUUUUUUUCCCAUCGCACACAAAACCAAAAGAUGCUGGAUAAUUUUCCCACCAUAGCUGACGUCUGGUUCCCACUGCAUAUCGCCUCAGAGGAUUCACAUGGGAAGCAUAAGCUGUGCUUAACGUCACACUGUCAAGUCUGCCUCAAAGAAUAAGUAGUAGUUGUACAUUUGUGUGUGUUCCAAAAUGUGGUUGCACCUCAACAUCAGCACAAAUAAAACUCACUGAAAUACAUGAUUAUUUUAAUGUUUGUUUCCAAUUUAUCAAUGCAGACUGACACAGUUGCAAUUUAGCCAAUAAAAUCCUGCAGUAUGCAUGGGUUUUUAAAAAUUCCUUUGGGUUGUUGUGGUGCAUCUGCUUGUGUUAAAUUUUGUAGAUAGACCUUGUAUCAUUUGUGCAUCUUCUUUACGCUCUAACAAAUAUUUUUCUCAGCACCACAGCUGGUGCAGCCACAUCCAGGAAACCAAAAUC